rnacentral:rRNA from 1 species
GGCUCAGAAUCAACGCUGGCGGCGCGCUUAACACAUGCAAGUCGAACGAGAAAGCCGGCUUCGGCUGGUGAGUAAAGUGGCGGACGGGUGAGUAACACGUGGAUAACCUGCCCUUUAGUGGGGAAUAACUCUGGGAAACCGGAGCUAAUACCGCAUAAGAUCCUUGGACCUUAAGAUUCGAGGAUGAAAGCCUUCGGGCGCUGAAGGAGGGGUCCGCGGCCGAUUAGCUAGUUGGUAGGGUAAUGGCCUACCAAGGCAUCGAUCGGUAGCCGGCCUGAGAGGGCACACGGCCACACUGGCACUGAGACACGGGCCAGACUCCUACGGGAGGCAGCAGUGGGGAAUCUUGGACAAUGGGGGAAACCCUGAUCCAGCGACGCCGCGUGACUGAUGAAGCCUUUCGGGGUGUAAAGGUCUUUCAGUGGGGACAAUUAUGAUGGUACCCACAGAAGCAGCUGCGGCUAACUACGUGCCAGCAGCCGCGGUAAUACGUAGGCAGCAAGCGUUGUUCGGAAUUACUGGGCGUAAAGCGAGUGUAGGCGGUUUGCCGUGUCUGCUGUGAAAUCUCCCGGCUCAACUGGGAGGGUGCGGCGGAAACUGGCAGGCUAGAGUGCGGAAGAGGAAAGUGGAAUUCCUGGUGUAGCGGUGAAAUGCGUAGAUAUCAGGAGGAACACCUGUGGUGAAGACGGCUUUCUGGACCGCCACUGACGCUGAGACUCGAAAGCGUGGGGAGCAAACAGGAUUAGAUACCCUGGUAGUCCACGCCCUAAACGAUGCAUACUUGGUGUGGGUUCUUCACUGGAUCCGUGCCGGAGCUAACGCGUUAAGUAUGCCGCCUGGGGAGUACGGUCGCAAGGCUGAAACUCAAAUGAAUUGACGG